rnacentral:tRNA from 1 species
AAUAAAGUGCCUGAUAAAAGGGUUACCUUGAUAGGGUAAAUUAUACACAAUUUUUUAUGUCUUUAUUA